rnacentral:rRNA from 1 species
GAUGAACGCUGGCGGCGUGCCUAAUACAUGCAAGUCGAGCGAACAGACGAGGAGCUUGCUCCUCUGACGUUAGCGGCGGACGGGUGAGUAACACGUGUAUAACCUACCUAUAAGACUGGGAUAACUUCGGGAAACCGGAGCUAAUACCGGAUAAUAUAUUGAACCGCAUGGUUCAAUAGUGAAAGACGGUUUUUCUGUCACUUAUAGAUGGAUCCGCGCCGCAUUAGCUAGUUGGUAAGGUAACGGCUUACCAAGGCAACCAGGCGUAGACGACCUGAGAGGGGGGUCGGCCACCGGGGAAGGGGAACAGGGACCAGAGGACGACGGGAGGGAGCAGAAGGGAAUGGGAGGCAGUAGGGGAAAAUAUGACGGAGAAAGGGGAAGCGAGAGAAAGAAGCGCUGGGAGCGGAAAGACGUGUUAGGAGGGAAGAACAGAUGGGGAAGGAACGAAGGAGGGAGUGACGGUAACGAGUAAGAAAGCAACGGCUAACUACGUG